UACAGAGGGGGCAAGCGUUAUUCGGAAUUAUUGGGCGUAAAGGGCGCGUAGGCGGCCUGACAAGUGGAAGGUGAAAUCCCUCGGCUUAACCGAGGAACUGCCCUCCAAACUGUUUGGCUUGAGACCGGGAGAGGUGAGUGGAAUUCCCAGUGUAGCGGUGAAAUGCGUAGAUAUUGGGAGGAACACCAGUGGCGAAGGCGGCUCACUGGACCGGUACUGACGCUGAUGCGCGAAAGCGUGGGGAGCAAACGGG
rnacentral:rRNA from 1 species